rnacentral:rRNA from 1 species
UACGUAGGGUGCAAGCGUUGUCCGGAAUUAUUGGGCGUAAAGAGCUUGUAGGCGGUUUGUCGCGUCUGCUGUGAAAUUUCGGGGCUCAACCCCGAACUUGCAGUGGGUACGGGCAGACUAGAGUGUGGUAGGGGAGACUGGAAUUCCUGGUGUAGCGGUGAAAUGCGCAGAUAUCAGGAGGAACACCGAUGGCGAAGGCGGGUCUCUGGGCCGAUACUGACGCUGAGGAGCGAAAGCGUGGGGAGCGAACAGG